GAUGAAGAACGCAGCGAAAUGCGAUACUUGGUGUGAAUUGCAGAAUCCCGUGAACCAUCGAGUCUUUGAACGCAAGUUGCGCCCGAAGCCACUAGGCCGAGGGCACGCCUACCUGGGCGUCACACGUCGUUGCCCCCCACCAUCUACUCCUUCGGGAUUGCGGGGGGCGGAUGAUGGCCUCCCGUGCGCCUAGCCGCGCGGUUGGCAUAAAUACCAAGUCCUCGGCGACGCACGCCACGACAAUCGGUGGUUGCGAAACCUCGGUUGCCCGUCGUGUGCGUUCGUCGCGCAUCGAGGGCUCGAAAAAAUGCUCGGCUCCGGCUCGGCUUUCAACGCGACCCCAGGUCAGGCGGGGUUACCCGCUGAAUUUAAGCAUAUCAAUAAGCGGAGGA
rnacentral:misc_RNA from 1 species